CCUACGGGAGGCAGCAGUGGGGAAUAUUGCACAAUGGACGAAAGCCUGAUGCAGCGACGCCGCGUGAGGGAUGACGGCCUUCGGGUUGUAAACCUCUUUCAGCAGGGAAGAAGCGAAAGUGACGGUACCUGCAGAAGAAGCGCCGGCUAACUACGUGCCAGCAGCCGCGGUAAUACGUAGGGCGCAAGCGUUGUCCGGAAUUAUUGGGCGUAAAGAGCUCGUAGGCGGCUUGUCACGUCGGGUGUGAAAGCCCGGGGCUUAACCCCGGGUCUGCAUUCGAUACGGGCUAGCUAGAGUGUGGUAGGGGAGAUCGGAAUUCCUGGUGUAGCGGUGAAAUGCGCAGAUAUCAGGAGGAACACCGGUGGCGAAGGCGGAUCUCUGGGCCAUUACUGACGCUGAGGAGCGAAAGCGUGGGGAGCGAACAGGAUUAGAUACCCUGGUAGUCCACGCCGUAAACGGUGGGAACUAGGUGUUGGCGACAUUCCACGUCGUCGGUGCCGCAGCUAACGCAUAAGUUCCCGCCUGGGAGUACGGCGCAAGGCAAAACGUUAAAGGAAUUGAACGGCUGAGACGUGCGAGACGACGACGAGGAGAGG
rnacentral:rRNA from 1 species